ACCUAUAUAACGAACUGGUGAAUGCCGGUAGACCAGACAUUAAACACAGAGUUAUAGCCAGCAAGACAUGACGCUGAGUUGAAGCGAUGAGUUGAUAAAUACAGCGUGUUUUACUUAUUAAUAUUUAAGAUACAGACAAUUUGGAAUUAGUUUUUCGUCUGGCAGGAGUAUGACUAUAUAGGUGUAUACUUCUCGCAAAUCGCAAUCAUGACGACGAACAAACACGAGGCAAUGCCGGGCCCGCCGAUUACCAACCCCGAUGCGGUUGAAGACGAGUGGCGGAAAAUGAGCUUCACGUGCAAGGCGGCGCACAUGGCCCGGAAUGUGACGGUAGAACCGAUGUUGGGGGUCUUCCAGCUGUCCAUGAUCAUGUCCAGUCUGACCACGCAAAACCUGAACAUGCAAAAGGCUUGCCGGGUGAACCUUAGUCUGGGGCAGACAGUGUGUUAUGCCCUGGAGAACAAGAACGCCACGUCUUACAGGAAUGAAGAGUUGGCAGUGCAGCAGCUGGUGACCAAGAUGAUGCUCUGGCAGAGCCCCUUCCAGAACAUUGUGCCAUGCGUUCUGGUGAUGUUCGUCGGUUCGUGGAGCGACCGGAACCAGAAGCGGAAACCGUUUAUGCUGUGGCCAAUAAUCGGCGAACUGGUGCGCAACGUCGGUCUGGUCAUUUGCGUGUACUUCUUCUACGAGCUGCCGAUGGAGGUAGCAGGUGUCGUGGAGUCGGUCCCGUCGGCCGUUACGGGUGGCUUACCUAUACUGAUACUCGCCGUGUUCGCGUACGUGGGGGACAUAAGCACGGUUAAAAGUAGAACAGUUCGAGUGGGCUUCGUGAGUUUAAUUUUUUCGAUCAGUAUCACCGUUGGAUCAGCGUUAUCCGGCAUCCUGUUUCGAGAUUAUGGUUUUUACGGCGUAUACUUUAUAUCCACUGCAUUGUAUUUGUUCAGCUUCAUGUACUGUAUAAUUGUCAUCAAAGAUAUUAAGCCCGCUGUCGUAGAAAAAUACCACGAACCCAAUAUUGCCGUUGGACAAUGCAAAAAAUCAUCUUUACUCGCGAUAACCGAUUUCUUUGACUUAAAACACGUAAAAGAAGCGAUUCGAGUUACAUUUAAGCGAGGAAAUGACGAUACAAGAAGAACCGACAUAAUAUUGUUGUUUGUUAUCAUGGUUAUUAUUUUGGGUCCUCUGAGUGGUGAACAAACAUUGAUGUAUUUGUUGGUACGAGUUAAAUUCAGUUGGAAUGAAGUAGAUUUCAGUGUUUUCUCCACGUAUUACUUUAUUUGUAAUCUCGUAGGUAUUGCAUUUACAUUGUGGAUUCUGGUUAAACGUUUUGCUAUUGACGACAGACUGCUUGGGGCAAUUGGAUGUCUGAGUAAAGGAUUGGCUUCAUUCGUUUACGCCUAUGCUCCGACCGAAUUCUUAUUCUACCUAGGUCCGAUUGUGGACAUUUUUCACGGUACGGCACUUGUUGCAUUUAGGUCGAUACUCUCGAAACUUGUUCCUGCAAACCAACUAGGUCAAGCGUUGGCGGUAUCUUCACUCGUCGAAACCAUAGUUCCUGCAAUAUUCAGACCUCUGUACAAUGUGAUUUAUUAUAAAACACUACACUUUCUACCCGGCGCAUUUUACAUACUCGGAGGAAUUUUUAAUCUUUUUGGCAUCUUUGUUUUUCUAUGGAUGUACAACCGUACAAAAAGAAGAGCGUAAACAUGAACAUCUCAGAAAAGCCAAAGUUACAAAACUGAUUUAAGUAUAAAGAUGGAUGUACAAGAAACAAAAACAAAAUGAAAAAUGGGAAGAUUUUGAAGAGAAACAAGCCUUAUCUGGAGAACCUAACAGUCAGCAUCCUUAAAACCACAGUACCUAAUGUGUUUAAAUUAUUAAUAUUGUUUUAAAUUAUUUUAGAAUGUAAAAAAGUUUUAUUUAUAUCCCAUAA